GAUGAACGCUGGCGGCGUGCCUCAAACAUGCAAGUCGAGCGAGGCUAUGAGUUACCGCAAGGUAAGGCAUAGCCUAGCGGCGAACGGGUGAGUAACACGUGGGUAACCUACCUGGAAGACAGGGAUAACGAUUCGAAAGGGUCGCUAAUACCUGAUAAUAUCCGUCUGCCGGAUGGCGGAGGGAAGAAAGGGGAAACCCGCUUUCAGAUGGGCCCGCGUCCCAUCAGCUAGUUGGUAAGGUAAAGGCUUACCAAGGCGACGACGGGUAGCCGGUCUGAGAGGAUGUACGGCCACACUGGGACUGAGAUACGGCCCAGACUCCUACGGGAGGCAGCAGUUGGGAAUCUUAGGCAAUGGACGAAAGUCUGACCUAGCGACGCCGCGUGAGGGAAGAAGGCCUUCGGGUUGUAAACCUCUGUCAUGGGGGAAGAAGGAAGUGACGGUACCCCAAGAGGAAGCCCCUGCUAACUACGUG
rnacentral:rRNA from 1 species